CUUAUUCAAAUAUUUUAAAAUUUAUUUAUAUUUCCUGAUUUUCCUACAGUAAACAUUUAUUACUUGGAUAAUUGAAAAUUAAAAAAACUAAAAAAAUACAUUUGCGAAGAACAGAUACACGUAUAUCUAUCUUAUCUUGUUAUGGAGAAAAACUUUCUAAAUCUAAAACCAGGGUAGCCAUGGUGUGCUGGAGCUUGCUUGCACAGAUUUGUUAAAUCUGAUUCUAAAGUAUUCAGGGCCAGGCACGGUGGCUUACACUUGUAAUCCCACCACUUUGGGAGGCGAAGGCGGGUGGAUCACUUGAGGUCAAGAGUUUGAGACUAGCCUGACCAACAUGGUGAAACCCCAUCUCUACUAAAAAUACAAAAUUAGCCAGGCAUGGUGGCACAUGCCUGCAAUCCCAGCUACUAGGGAGGUUGAGGCAGGAAAAUCACUUGAACCUGGGAGGCAAAGGUUGUAGUGAACUGUGAUCAUGACAUUGCACUCCAGCCUGGGCAACAAGAGCGAAACUCCAUUUCAAAAAAUAAAAUUAAAUAUAAAUAAAUACAUAAAUAAAAAUAAAAUAUUCAAGAGCUUUGCCAAAAAAUUAGUUGGUAGCUAGCCCUCAGCAAUAGCGGGAAUACUGACACUGCAGAUAUCAGCAAAUGCUACAAAUCAGACUUUUCUUUUGAAACUGCUUUACCAGCACACAUCUGAAAGACAGUAAUAGCAAAGAAAAGGGGAACUUACUUGUUUAUAUAAAAAUGAAUGUGGGGCCUGGUGAGAAGUAAUUAGAUCAUGGGGGAGGAGUUCUCAUGAAUGGGUUGACAUCAUUGCCUUAGUGCUGUUCUCGUGAUAGUGAGUGAAUGAGUUAUUGUAAGAUCUGGUUGUUUAAAAGUAUGUAGCACCUCCCCACACUCUCUCUUGCUUCUGUUCCUGCUGUGGAAGACACCUUGCUCCCCCUUUGCCUUCCAUCAUGAUUGAAAGCUCUGUGAGGACUCUCCAGAAACAGAAGCCACUAUGCUUUCUGUACAGCCUGUGGAACUGUGAGCCAAUUAAAUCCCUUUUCUUUAUAAAUUAGUUAGUCUCAGGUAUUUCUUUAUAGCAGUGCAAGAAUGAACUAAUACAGAAAAUUGGUACUGAGGAAGGGGGCAUUGCUAUAAAAAUGCCUGAAAAUGUGGAAGCAGCUUCGGAAUUGGGUAACAGGCAGGGGUUAGAAGAGUGUGGAGGGCUCAGAAAUAGACAGGAAGAUGAAGAAAAAUUUGGAAAUUCCUGGAGACUUGUUAAAUUGUUUUGACCAAAAUGCUGAUAGUGACAGGGACAAUGAAGUCCAGGCUGAGGAGGUCUCAUAUAGAAAUGAGGAACUUACUAGGAACUGGAGCAAAGGUCACUUUUGUUAAGUGUUAGCAAAGAACUUGGAAACAUUGAGUCCCUACCCUAGGAAUCUGUGGAACUUUGAACUUGAGAGAGACCAUUUAGGGUAUCUGGCAGAAUGAAUUUCUAAGCAGCAAAGCGUUCAACUUGUGGCCUGGCAGCUUCUAACAACCUAUACUCCUAUGUGUGAGCAAAGAAAUGACCUGAAACUUGAACUUAUAUUUAAAAGGAAAGCAGAGUGUAAAGGUUUGGAAAAUUUGCAUCCUGGCCAUAUGGUAGAAAAGAAAAGCCCAUUUUCAGGAGAGGAAUUAAGCAGGCUGCAGAAAUUUUCAUAACUAAAAGAAAGGCAAAUGCUGAUAGCCAAGAAAUGGGGAGGUGGCUUCAAAGGCAUUUCAGAGACCUUAGAGGCAGCCACUUCCAUCACAAGCCUAAGGAGGCUUAGGAAGGAAGAAUGGUUUCCUGGACCAGACCCAGGGACACUGCUCCUCACAUCCCAGCCACUCUAGCUCCAACAAUGGCUCAAAGUGGCCCAGGUACAGCUCAGGCCACUGCUUCGGAGAGUGUAAGCUAUAAGCCUUGGCAGCUUCCACGUGGUGUUAAGCCUUCAGGUGUGCAGAGUGCAAGAGUUGAGGCUUGGAAACCUCCACCUAGAUUUCAGAAGAAGUAUGUAAAAGCCUGGAUGUCCAGGCAGAAGCCUGCUGCAGGGCCAGAGCCCUCAUGGAGAACCUCUACUAGGGCAGUGUGGAGGGGAAAUGUGGGGUUGGAGCCACCACACAGAGUCCCCACUGUGGCACUGCCUAGAUGAGCUGUCAGAAGAGGGCCACUGUCCUCAAGACCCCAGAAUAGUAGACCCACUGGCAACUUGCACCUUGUGCCUGGAAAAGCUGCAGGCAGUCAACACCAGCUCUUGAGAGCAACUGUGGGGACUGAACCCUGCAAAGCCACAGAGGAGGAGCUGCCCAAUGCUUUGGGAGCCCACCUCUUGCACCAGUGUACCUUGGAUGUGAGGCAUGGAGUCAAGGGAGAUUAUUUUGGAGCUUUAAGAUUUAAUGACUGCCCUGCUGGGUUUCAGACUAGCAUGGGGCCUGUAGCCCCUUUCUUUUGGCUGAUUUCUCCCUUUUGGAACAGUUGUAUUUACCUAGUGCCUGUACCCUUGCUGUUUAAGAGUAACUAACUUGCUUAUGGUUUUACAGGCUCAUAGGUGGAAGGGACUUGCCUUGUCUCAGCUGAGACUUUGGACUUCUUUUGAAUUAAUGCUGGAAUGAGAUAAGACUUUGGGGGACUGUUGAGAAGGGAUGAUUGUAUUUUGCAAUAUGAGAAGGACAUGAAAUUUGGAGGGGCUGGGGGUGGAAUGAUAUAAUUUGUAUCUCUGUCCCCACUAAAUCUCAUGUCCAGUUAUAAUCCCCCAUGUUGGAGGUGGGACCAAGUGGGAGGUGAUUGGAUGGGGGUAGAGUUCUCAUGAGUGGGUUAGCAUCAUCUUCUUGGUGAUGUUCUCAUGUUAGUGAGUAAGUGAGUUAUCAUAUUAUGAGAUCUGGUUGUUUGAACGCAUGUAGCCCUUCCUCUCUCUCUCUCUCUUGUUCCUGCUCCAGCCAUGUUCCUGCUCUCUUGUUCACUUUUCACCACGAUUGUAAGUUUCCUGAGACCUCGCCAGAAUCAGAAGCCACUGUGUUUCCUGUACAGCUUGCAGAACUGUGAGCCAAUUAAACCUCAUUCCUUUAUAAAUUACCUAGUCUCAGGUAUUUUUUUCAUCAGUGCAAGAAUGGACUAUUACACAAUUAAAUAGUAAAAAACAGAACCCUGAAAGAAAAAUAGGUAAAUGACAUGAACAGGUAAUUCACUAAAGAGAUACAUAUUGCCAAUAAUAAAAAAAAAAUAAAACAAUAAUGAGAUGUCACUCUACAUCUAUAAAAUUGACAGCUCUCUAUAAUGUUAUUUUUGUGGAGGAUGUGUAGAAUGUCUACCCCAGCACACUCUUGGAGCGCAGGUAAAGUGGAACAAACUUUAUGGAGAGCACUUGGUGCUAUGUAACAUGACAAUGCUCAUGUCCUUCAACCUAGUCAUUCUUUCCCAGAAAUUUAUCCUAAAGCAAUAGUAAAAGAUUCAGACCACGACUGUGUACAAAGGUGCUUAUAACAUUUUGUGAAAUGCAAAGGGCAAAUCUCUGCUCAGACAGAGCUGAGGGUGGCUGGUCAUG
rnacentral:lncRNA from 10 species